CCAACCCCAAAAUUACUACAUGUCCUCCUUGAAUAUGUUUUGUUUAUUUAAAUUUAAGGAACCAUUUCUAGCCCCAAAGAGAGCUUGGGCUACUGCAUCUAUUCUGUUCUCUAAUCCUGGGGUUUGGACCCAAGUCAUUCCUGGGAAUGCCUAUCUCUAAGAAGCAGGAAUGGGCACCCUGUACCUGUACCUUACUCUUCUAGGGACCAGUCUGCUCAUAAGUGCCCUGUUUCUCCUUUCAAUAAGAAGAAAUAUGCAAUAAAGUCGAUCAUACUACAUUGUUAGACUCAGUGUGUUCUACAGGAGUACCAGCAUUUGAAUUUUAAUAGAGGACCCUCGGGGAGAGGGCUAAGCUUAAGCCAAAGGAAUGAAUCAAUCAAGAUCUGUCUCAAAGGGACUUCACAGGAUGCACCUCCUACUGAAUGGAAUCCAGUACAGUAAUUGGUACCUGGCAAGGACUGAGCAAAUACUGAUGGAUCAAUUAGGCACAUGCCUAGUUAGGCCGGGUCUCUUUACCAUCAUCUCUGCACUUUGCUCCUCUUCCUCCUUGGAUGUGGUCACAGAAAGGCAGAGGACAAAGAAUACUAUACUGAAAAUCAAGAGACUCACAUUCUAAUUCUGACACUGCCACAAACUUACUGUUUGACAUUGCUCAAGAAAUUUAUCCCCUCUGGACUUUGAGGCUUCACAUCUUAAAUGAAGGGCUGGAUGAUGUAAGCUCUAAAGUCUCUUCUACCUCUACCUUUCUGCUUUGGCAAAUAUAGUUAUGCAGGGCACCUGUCUUCUUCUAGAAUACUCAAAUUCUUGAUGACUUUGCUUUCUCCAUUCAGAGACACGCAGGCUAAAAUAUCUGAUUCCCAUCCACCAAUUUUUUGCUAAACAUUGAGAGCAAAGACUACAAACUUUCCUUUUUGAUUCCUCAUACUGCCUCAUUUUUAUUUUAUUUAAAAAUUAAUUACAAUCUUUUCUAGUCUCAGGGCUAAACUGAGCAAAUAGCUGUAUUUCAAUUAACUGAAAACUUGAUACUCCUGCCAAACUCGCCCUGCAAUAAAAUACUUUCUCACCAAGGAGGUGAUAUGGAA
rnacentral:lncRNA from 1 species